rnacentral:lncRNA from 1 species
AAGGUUUCAUGUCUAAUGUCACACCAUAUGCGCUCUAUGCAUAGAUGAUGGCUUCACUCCAUCAAGAAAGAACAUUAUUCUUUAUUAAUUGAUACCGGGAUAAUGCGAAAUAUAAUUUGAAAUGCUGAAAGUUAUAUUUGCUGGAAACACUUUAGGAAUAAUGAUAAAUCGAUUCACCAAGUUUAAAAUCAUAAAAUGAUUCAUAAACUCACUAUCCUAAGGAUAAUUAAAUAAGGAUACAAAACUUAAAAAAA